AUUCUAAAGAGCAUAGGCUCCUUGGCAGAUCUAGCCCUUUACCCAUUUGAGCCCUGUUCAUGCAAACACCUGUAGAAGCUCUUAACUUUGUUGCUUCCAGAUGUCCUACUGAAAUCAAUUAAAUUGUUCAGAGUAAUAAGAUUAAGCACCUCUGUAUGCGUUUGCAGGAUCAAAGAUGACUUGAAGAAUCAAGAGUUGGGCAUAGAACUUAGAAUGAGCUGUCCUUCAGAUCAAAUCUCACAAGCUCUCUAUCCCCACCCAGCACGAUGACCAUUUAUCAUGGCUGAACUCUAACGGAUGAUUCACACGGGCAAAGUGUAGAAAAAAAAAAAACAGUUGUGCCCCAAUUGUUCUUCUGGACAUAACACUGAGUAAACAUGCCAUCAACUGGCAAAAAAACAAAACAAGCUAUGGCUAUAAGAACAAGCAAGACUGCAAGAGCUGGUCUG